rnacentral:misc_RNA from 1 species
CAAUAAGAGUGUUUAUGGCACUCUUUCAAAAAAUCCAUACCCACCUUGUGUGCAAUGUAAAAAAAAGGAGUUUUUCUGGUGGUUUGGGAGUGAGAGUUGUUUUACAACGCUCAUUUUUUUUCCUCAAGAGACACUUUUUUUCAUUUCAUUAUACACCUUUCUAUAAGUUUCCUAUGUGCUGGAAGUACUUGGAAUAAAUAUAAUUCUAAAAUA